rnacentral:rRNA from 1 species
AGCGAACGCUGGCGGAAUGCUUAACACAUGCAAGUCGCACGCCUUGGCAACGGGGAGUGGCGGACGGGUGGGUAACGCGUAGGAAUAUAUCCGAAGGUGGGGGAUAACCCUGGGAAACUGGGGCUAAUACCGCAUGGGGGCGUGAGGCCCAAAGCCGUGAGGCGCCUUUAGAGUAGCCUGCGUCCGAUUAGCUAGUUGGUGGGGUAAAGGCCUACCAAGGCUGCGAUCGGUAGCUGGUCUGAGAGGACGACCAGCCACACU